GUGGGGAAUAUUGCACAAUGGGCGAAAGCCUGAUGCAGCGACGCCGCGUGAGCGAUGAAGUAUUUCGGUACGUAAAGCUCUAUCAGCAGGGAAGAUAAUGACGGUACCUGACUAAGAAGCACCGGCUAAAUACGUGCCAGCAGCCGCGGUAAUACGUAUGGUGCAAGCGUUAUCCGGAUUUACUGGGUGUAAAGGGAGCGUAGGCGGCGUGGUAAGUCAGAAGUGAAAGCCCGGGGCUCAACCCCGGGACUGCUUUUGAAACUAUCAUGCUAGAGUGUCGGAGAGGUAAGUGGAAUUCCUAGUGUAGCGGUGAAAUGCGUAGAUAUUAGGAGGAACACCAGUGGCGAAGGCGGCUUACUGGACGAUAACUGACGCUGAGGCUCGAAAGCGUGGGGAGCAAACAGGAUUAGAUACCCUGGUAGUCC
rnacentral:rRNA from 1 species